UCCCUCUCUCCAAAGCCAUGAGGUCCUGGAACUAAGCAAAUGUACUGAGAAGAUAAGGACAAUGCUGCAGACCUGAGAAGAGACUUGGCCCUGGUCACAGCUGAGUUGAGUUCUUUUGGUUUCUCUAUGGUGACCUGAGAGAAUGAUGGAAACAUAUCCAUCUCCACAUGGUCAGGACCUACUCUCCCAAUCUCAGAAGUGCCUCAGAUCCUCCUCAGGAACUCACCCUCAGAAAACUCAAGCUAACAAAGUCCUAUUGUUCAAUGUCUCUCCCUAUGUUUACUCUCCUGUGUUACGACCAAUUGAGGGAAACGAAGAAAGUGAUUGUGAGGAGUUAAGUAACUAUCCAGUCAGUGUGACAGCAACUAUAAGUAGGCGGCGCCAUGAUUCAAAUUCAAGAAUGCCUGAAACAGUAAUUCAAGCUCUUAACUUCUGAGGAGAAUACAG